rnacentral:pre_miRNA from 1 species
UGUUAAAAUUUUAUUCAUUUGUACUAUUAAAAAUUGGCGUGACUGAUAGAAUAAUUAAACAGUGCCACGUGUAUCUUAUGUUGAUGUAUAAGGACUAGUUUUUAACUGUAGAAAUGGAUAAAUUUCUUUUUACA